rfam:Danio rerio chromosome 4, GRCz11 reference primary assembly.
CCCUGGCUAGCUCAGUUGGUAGGGCAUGAGACUCUUAAUCUCAAGGUUGUGGCUUCAUCCCCCACGUUGGGCG